rnacentral:tRNA from 2 species
GGUAGCGUGGCCGAGGGGUCUAAGGCGCUGGAUUUAGGCUCCAGUCUCUUCGGGGGCGUGGGUUCGAAUCCCACCGCUUCCA